rnacentral:lncRNA from 1 species
AGGGUUUGAUUAGGGUUUAGGAUUAGGAUUUGGUUUAGGAUUUAGGAUUUUGUUAGGAUUGAGAUUUGGUUAGGGUUUAGAGUUAGGGUUUGAUUAAGGUUUUUUUUUAGGAUUUAGAAUUGAUUAGGAUUUUUUAGGGUUAGGAUUUGUCUAAGAUUUGACUAGGGUAUGUUUAGAAUUUAGGGUUUGUCUAGGAUUUAAUUAAGGUUGGAUUAGGAUUAGGAGUUGGUUAGAAUUUGUGGUUUUAUUAAAUUUUUUUUAGGAUUUGACUAAGUUUUCUUUAAUAUUCUUCUAUAUUUCUUUAGGAUUUCUUUGUAUUUUUUUUGUAACUUCAAUAAAAUUUAAUUUAGCUUGCUGAAUGUUUGAUUAUGAUUGUUAACAUUUAAUUGUAAUUUUUCUAUAAUCCUAUUGGAUUGUUAGGACCUUUUGUUGCAAUUUUCUUUUACCUUCCACAGGUAGGUGCACAGUGCAUUCUCAAGCAAGACUUCAUGUAAUACGACAUAUAUGGUGAACUGGAUGUGAAAUGCUUGAAGUGGAAGGAAUUUAGUUUCCUUGGAUUACUUGAAUUUUGGAGAAAAAAUACAUGAAAGUUGGAAGAAGGGCUUUGGGUGAUAUGUGAAUUGGAGCUUUUGAAUUCUUGGAGCUUUGGAGACUAUUUUAAUAUACAGUGGCAAUAUUUUGAUUAUCAUGGAGUAUUAUAAGGCUUUAUAGAUAUGUUGGAGCAUUUUGAAGUAUCAUAAGGUAUUUAUUGGAGUAUUCCAAAGAAUUUUUUUAAUUAUUAUAGAACAAACUGGAAGAUGUGUCAUUAAAAUUUUUGGAUAUGUCGAAUAUUAUGGAUGGAUCAAAUAUUAGUGAGUUUUAUAAGGCUUUCUAUAUAUUUAUGGAGGAGCAACAAAGAAUGUAAGCAAUUGAAGAAGAUAUCUCAAGGACAUUGCAAGGAGUCAUCAACAAAUUUGGGAGGUUUGAAGGAUGCAACAUCACUAAGUUUUUGCAAGUUUAUACAUGUGAGAUGGAGACAUGCCAAAUCCUUGAGGCAAAGAUGAUCUCAAGCUUACAUUUAGCUAUUGAAUCUAGGUUUUAGGAAAAGAUGAAGGGAUUGCUUGAAAGAGGUAUAGAAACAUGGUCAAAAUUUCAAGAACUUUUGAAGAAAGAAUUUAUUGAUGGAUAUGAAGAUAGGAUUACCAAGCAAAAGUUUUUGAAUUGGAUAGAGUUUCAAUCAAACAAGUAUAUGGAUCUUCAUGAAUUCUUGGAAGAAUUUGAUAGGAGAUGUUAUCAACUGUCACCCUCAGAGAGACGAUCAUUGGAUAUUUUAAAGAUAGAUUUGUUUUUAAAUAGUCUUGAUGAUACCUUGGGAGACGAGCUUUUCAUGCUUCUUGUAGAUGAGUCUACAGGGAAUGAUUGUACCGAUAAUUGGAACAAAUUGAAGGAAGUAGUAGUUGAUUUAGCAAGGCAGCAAGAAGAAAAAGCUAAAGAAGUUGUAAUAUAGCCUAAGAAAUAUUCUACUUUGGCUUGUAUGCCAUCUUUAUCAAUGCAAGGGACUAAUCUUAAAAAAAGAGAAAUGAAAGAGCAAGUGGAGGAUUUCAAUGGAGAAGCCAAAUUUUUACAAAUGAAAGAAAUUGGAUCUUAUAGCAAGGGUAGUGAAGGAGAGAACAAAGAUUCUUUUUAAACUAUUACUAUGGAAGGCCAAUGUAUUAAAAAAUUUGAAGGUAAUAUGAAGAUCAAGGAUUUGGAAACUAAUGACAAUGUAGUUGGAAGCUAUGUCUAUUCUAUAUUGAAUAAAUUUGUACAAGUUGGUGGUGGCAAUUUGGAUAGAAAAUCUCUUGGUGAUAAAAAGAUAUUUUCUACAUUUGAAGGAUGUGAGCAUGUUUUGCCUAAUACUUUGGAUUGUGUUGAAGAACUUAAAGUUGAACUUUUACAAAAAAAUGGAUUAUGGAUCUAUUAAAGGUUAUAAUCAUGAAAAUUUUAUGAAUUCACAACAUUAUGAUGUGAAAAGUGGUGGAAUUAUGCAUGGAUAUGAUGAAGAAAGUCAAAUUGCGUAUGGCUAUGAGACCACAUAUGAGUUGGGUAAAAAAAAUUAUGAAUUUUUACAUGAUUAUCAUUUUAAAUGUGGUUGUGAAACUACAAAGGAUUAUUGAGAAAGUUAUGAGAUUUUUCAAGAACAUGAGAUUUCAAAAGGGCAUGAGAAUUUUCAAUAUUAUAAAGUCUGUAUUUUGUGUCCCUGACAGUUUGUCGAGACUACACUAACUUGAGAUAUCAGAGCUAGUUCUUUCUUAGUAGAGUGUGGAUUACCCCUCUACUUGAAGGUAUACUAGCAUUUUUUAGAGGUUGCGGAUUACCCUCCUCUAAAUUGAUACUUCUUCUGUUACAAUAUUGGAGUCUUAUUCUUCUUGGAGAGAGUGGAUUACCCCUCUUCUUGAAAUUCUUAAGGUGUUUUAUAGGUUGUGGAUUACCCUCCUAUAAACCAAUAUUGCCUCUUAUAGGGUCAUUUUUGUCCUACUUUUAGAAUGGCCGGAGGUCAAGACAUUAGUAUGACAGAAAGUUCAGAGUCUAAGUUAGAUGCUAUUAUGAAUGCCCUCGCUACGUUAUCACAAAGAACUGCAGAGAUUGAAGGAGUGGUGGCAAGGCUUCAUAAUGAUGGAGUAUCUGGGAUAGCACAAUCUAAACUACACCAGCCUCGAAUUUCGGCACUUGGAGAAACAACUUUACCUCAGGUUCGACAAGAACCACUAGUUCUACAACAUAAGGAGCCUCGAGUUAGCCUUCCAGAUAAGUUUGAUGGAACACGUUCCAAGUUUCGAGGAUUCGUCAAUCAAAUCAGGUUGAUAACAGUUUUACAGCCCGAACGAUAUCCAACGGAGGAGUCACGUGUUGGGCUUGUUGGAACCUUACUUGCAGGACAAGCUCUAUCAUGGUUUGCUCGUUUGUUUGAGAAACGAUCAUCCAUAUUAAACAACUUCGAAACCUUUUUGGAAGCAUUUGCGGAAGCAUUUGGUGAACACGAUAAGGUUCGAUGGGCUACAACAAAGAUCCGGUCGCUACGACAAGGGAUGCGUUCUACAUCAGUCUAUGCUUCGGAUUUCAGGUAAUUAGUACGCGACAUCAAUUGGGAUGAAGAAGCGUUGAUGAGUCAAUUCUAUUGGGGUUUAAGAGAUGAUGUGAAGGAUUUGCUGUUAACUCUUCCUGAUCCACGAACGCUCAAUGAAGCCAUUAGCCAAGCUGUGAAGUGCGAUAAUCGCCUAUUCCAACGUCGCCAAGACCAACGCUCAAGACAACAUACAAUUCGCCAAGUUCCAACUAUGUCGGCAAGCAGUGUGAAUUCGCAUUCAGAGGAGGAAGACAUGCAAAUUGAUGUGGCACGUAUCAAAUCUCUUACUAUAGAAGAAAAAAAGCGACGUAUAGAGGAAAAUUUAUGCUUGUAUUGCGGUGGAGAAGGCCACAAAGUCGGAAACUAUCCCAAAAAGUAAAAUCGAGGCAUAGUCAAGACUAGAGAAGUAUUUGUUCAGGAAAACGAGGAUGCCCAGUCACAGUAGGAACCGUGCGGCUGGACAAUGAAAUAUCCCAACAACAAUCAGGUUCCUUUCUUUCUGCCCAACCUGCACUUUGUUUUACAAUCCUUCUGUUUAUCGGCCCUCAAAAACUGAGAACCUUAGCACUACUAGACUCAGGAGCAUCUGCUUGUUUUUUAGACGAAGAAUUUGCAAAGCGUCAUAAGAUCCUUUUAGUACAAAAAUCAAAACCUGUUCAUGUUGAGGUCAUAGAUGGGCGACCUUUAUUGUUUGGUACCAUCACCCAUGAAUCAAAACCUAUAGAAGUAACGUUUAAAGACCAUAGUAGUCAUAUUAUUUUUAAUAUUAUUAGAACCCCAUCAAAUCCUAUUAUUCUUGGUCUUUCUUGGUUGGAAAAACAUAAUCCAUUGAUAGAUUGGAGGUUGCGGUGUCGUAUUGUAACACGAGUAUACAGUGAAAAUAAAAAGAAAGGAGAAUUUUAUUAAUAUUCAGUUACCUCGAAUAUUGGGAGCAUCAACCAACUCUAGUACAAAUACUGAGUGGUCAGGUUCAGUCACCCCGUUACAGUCAGCCGGGGCUUACUGAAAUGCUCCGUUCGAUUCCAAUAACGAGAGUCAGCAGGAAGAGAAGGACCAAUUCACACGACGGGUUCGAGGAGCCAAUUGGAUCCAAUUUCGAUAAUCCAAUCCGGGUCCUCUUAUCCAAUAUGAGACCUGAAUUGGCCGGUCAACCCAAUGCAGUCUAAUUACGGGAAAUCCAGAUCUUACUACGGGUCUUAGCUAAUCUGACGCGAGGACCAAUUUGACCCAAUUACGGGAACAUCCAGGUUACUACGGGCAUCUUUCCCAAUAUAGGACCUGAAUUGGUCGGGCGACUCAAUGUGGUCCCGAUUACGGGGUUCGAUUUUGUUUCAGGCUGUCCAGUUCUCUGUGCCGUUUCCGGGAACGUUGUUUUUGGUAAAUGGAUUUCUUAAAGGUAAAAACAGAGGAGAAAGCUUGACGGCGAGAGCCAAUUUUGGAUCCAAGCUUGAGGUGGGAGCCUAUUCCGGAUCUAAGAUGGAAGAUUGAAGAAAUUGAGAGGAUAAGGUUAGGGGGGAUAUAGUUUUGAGGGAGGAGGUUUUUUUUUCGGGGAGAAUCGGGGGGAGCGAGUUUUCAAGCUUUUGCAAGAUUACUAGUUCGGUUUUUCAUUGGAGGUUUUUGGAAGAUCAGGGGAAUUAGAGAGAGGAGCUUCAUGCUUCGGGUCAUGGAAGGAAAGACAUAGAAUUUGGAUUUUUCUUCUUCGUAGAGUUUUGGGACGACUGAGGCAAUCGCUGCUGAAGUCAGUGUUGUAAUGGUGAAUCGGGAUUUUUAAAUGAAGUGGGUUUGAAUACUCUUGACUAUUUUGUAAAAUCGAGUUACGUCUGUGAUUGAAGGAUUAAAGGGGUGUCUAUAGGAUUGAGUAUGUGGAGUGAAUGAAAUUUAUUGGGUUAAUCUAACAAGACAGUCAGUGGAUACAAGAUCGUAAGUACAAAGGGGUAUUGAAGAUUAACAGUUUGGGUUGUUCGGGGUUCUCUGUAACGUCUAGAGACCUACCGGUUGGGGCAAAAAAAGGACUUUGAGAAGCAGUCGAAGGGCAUCAGUAAAGAUUUACGGUGUAUUCUUGCAGUCGUUUAUAUUCCAGCAGUAAAAACUGAUAGACUGCUUGACUAUCGACGAAUCUCCAUACUACCUUCUACAGCCAGACGCCCGGCGCAUUCUCGAGCAGGAAAGCACGUAAUACGACAUAAGUGGUGAACCCGACGUGAAAGCUUGAGGUAGAAGGUAUUGGAUAUCGGUUGAUUUUAUCUUUAUUUUUAUGGAAAACGAAAAUAAAAAUUUUGAAGGAUUUUUGGGAGGAGUUUCUGGUGGGGAGUCUUCUAAAGGACAAGGUAUGCACAUGGAUCCGUCUAUUGCUAGUUUGUUUCAAGCCUUCUCAUUGUCAAUGCAGCAACAGCAAAGCAAUGAUCGAAAGGAAGCUUUGGCAACCAAAGCAUUACAAGCAGUGGUCAAUAAAAUUGAUCAAUUUGAUGGGAGGAAUAUUUCAAGGUAUUUAAGAUGUUAUGUUCGUGAAAUGGAAUUAAAUCAGGUUUUUGAGAAGAAAAUGGUUGCACUAUUUGGACUUGCCACGAUACCGGAGAUAAGGGACCACAUUACAUCGAUUACGGAUCAUUGUGGGAAUUCAUGGGAGGAUUUUUUACAUGCAUUGAAAGACGAAUAUUUCUUGGAAGAUGCUGAUCGCGUUACUAAGAAGCUGUUUCUGGGAUGGAUUGAACGGCCCAAUAAGAAUUUGCAAGCAACAGAGCUACUAAGGGAAUUUGAGAGGCAGUACUCUCAAUUAUCGAAGGUAGAAAAAUUGACAUUGGAGCCGAACAAAGUUGAUCUAUUUCUUCAAGCUGCUGAUGGAGAAUUGCAAGAGAAAUUAGAACCCCUUCUUGAAGACAAAAAAGAAGAUGAAGGAUUGACAACGAAGUGGAAGAACAUUGAAGAUGCGGUGGGAUUACUUACAAAAAGAGAAAGGAGGAAGGAUAGGAGUAAUAUUCCAAAAAAAGUACAAGCACCCUAAGCUCCAGUACGUACUACACCACCGACAAUGCCUACAGUUCAACCUUCGACAUGCUUGUCAAAGAAAACAGAUAUGGGUAUGGAAGAAAUUAUACGAGGAAUGCGAGAUCUUCAAAUCAAAUUGGCAAGACUUGAAGAGAAUACUUCUAUAAACAAUUCGAAGAAUGUUUCAAAACAAGGAUAUGUACAAAGAUGCAUUUGGUGUGAUGAUGCUUCACACACUAGAAAAGAUUGCAAUGAAUUUAAUAAUAUGAUACGGCAGGGAAUUAUUUGCUGGAAAGAUGGGAAGAUAGCAUUGAAAGAUAGGGAGGAUCUUCUUCAAACCAAUUUUGGCAAGGGAGGAAUGAGAGCAUUGGUUCAAGAUUACUUAAAAGGGCAUGAAACAGUAGCACGAGAAAGUGCAAGUUAUGGUGCUAGAGUAGAUGAUGAAAUUGGUGGAAGUACGGAAACUAGUGAGUUUUGGGCUUCUGCCGUUUCUACAAUGCAAGAAGGGAAAUUACCUCGAGAAGCGUUAUUGAGAACUGCAGCUACAAUACGAGGAAGAACAGGUUGGGAGGAUCCUGUUGAGUCUCUUUCAGUUCAUGCAUAUAUUGCUAAGAGCCAACAUGAAGCUUUGAUGGAAGAAAAAAGACGAGGAAAUUUUGAUGAUACUAGAGAAGGAAAUUCUUUUAAGAGGCAAACUCGAGGAGACAAGGCUCGGGAGGCAGCUUCACAAGAAUUACCUGUAAAGGAUACCUCAGCAUCAUUGGGAGAAAAAACAACGGAGACAAAAGAUAAGGGCAAAUCAAUUGCUUAUAAGCUACUUUCUGACAUUGAAGCAGGAACAAAUUUGAAAGGGCUGUUGGAAGAACGUAUAUUAAACGCUAAGGUGGAAUUCACAUUGAAAGAAGUCUUGGGAAUUGCAAAGAAGGAGUUUCAUGAUGUUAUCAUUGACAGUAUUAAGCGAAAGAGGCAAUUAAUGAGCGAAACUGGAAUGAGUCAUGCUAUUGAUGCAAGAAUAUGUAGAGAUGAAGAAGAGGUUGAUAUUGGUUACGAGCAACCAACAAAUGAAAAGAAUGGAUAUAAUCAGCGAGUACGUAUCGAAGAUUCUAGUAACAAGGAAAUGGAAACUUUGAGCCAUUAUACUCGAAAGCAUUGGACAAGGGCAACUACUGAGGUAUUGGUGAAGGUAGGAGAUAUAGAAGAACCAAUAGUUGCUUUGGUGGACCAUGGUUCUGAAAUAAAUCCCAUGUCUAAAGAUCUUUAUAAGAAGAAAAAAUGGCCAAUUGAUAUGGAACAUGGAUGGGCAAUACAAGCAGCUAAUAACACACGAGGCGAAUUAUAUGGAGCUUGUCCAGAUGUCAAAAUUCGGAUUGGGGAUGUUGCUACGGAGCAACAUUUCUUCGUUCAAGAUACAACGUCUUAUCCGUUGAUUUUAGGACAACCUUAUAUCACGGCAACACGGAUGGAAAUAAAGGUACUUGACGAUGGUUCUGCUUAUGCAAGGGUACGGAGCGAAGAUGGGAGGAAAGCUGUACAAUUUCUAACAGUACCUCCUAACCAUGAACGAAAUCGAGAUAGGUUGAGGGAGAAACCAUUGCCAAAGAUUGUUGAAGGAUUUAAGGAUUUUGGGGAGGUACCACUGUAAAGCGAGAUUAUGGAGGUACAAAAGAGGAGGUACUCUCGCGAGAUGAAGGUGCCUUUGAUGCGAGUUUUAUUGGUAUGUUGGAGAAUGGAAAUAUUAUGUAUAAGAAAGUUGAAGAUUUUAAAAGAAAAGAAAGAAAAAGAUUAUAUGAUAUUGAAGGACAGUUACGUAAGAUAGGUACAUUGCAAGAUGAUGAGAGGAUUUUGGGUGUUUAUGAAGAAAAUGGGCUGGAAGAUUCAUUGGAAUUGAUUGCAUCUAUUGGGUUAGGAGAUAAUGAUAAGAUUGUUGAGAUUCAUUCGAGAGAGGUUUAUACCAUGCUUGAAUCUUUUCAAGCACCAGAAGUCACAGUAGAGACGAGAUAUAAAACGGCAGAUAAGAAGGUAAAGCCUGUUGCCGGACCAUUACCAGAGGAUUCUAAAGAACAAAUGGGAGAAGCAUCAAAAGAAGCAAGUUUAAGAGAUCCAAUGAGUAUUGGACACCAGUUUACUGAAGAGACUUUUGAAGAAUUGAAGAUUGGUUCUGAUGGUUCUUUAUUGCCGGAGGAAAUUACUUGCUUCGAAAAGAUGUUGGCUAAACAAGGUAGAUCGUUUGCCUUCGAAUCUCAUGAAAUUGGGUGUGUGGAUCCAAAUAUUAUAACACCUAUGGUUAUCUUCACUGUACCGCAUGUACCUUGGAAUCUAAGACCGAUUCCAGUACCGAGGGCACAUUUACCUAAAUUGGUUGAGCUAUUAAAAGAAAAGAUAAAGAUGAAAAUAUUGGAACCUUCGUUUGCGCCGUAUUCUAGUCGAUGGUUUACGGUACCUAAGAAGAAUGGAUCACUACGGUUUAUUCAAGAUAUGUAGGUGGUGAAUGCUGUAACUGUCAAGAAUGCAGGAAUUGGACCUAUUGUGGAUGAAUUUGCUGAGGCGUUUGCUGGAAGGGCGAUCUAUUCAAUGGGUGAUUUGUAUUCAGGUUAUGAUCAAUUUCAACUUACCGAAGGAAGUAGAGAUAUGACAACGAUGAGGACACCGCUUGGAUUGGUUAGAAUGUGCACUCUUCCUCAAGGCGCGACCAACUCAGUUGCGCAUAUGAUGAAUGGGAUGAAUAAGGUAUUGAGAGAUUUUAUCCCGGAAAAGACUAUGCCUUUUCUGGAUGAUGUUCCUAUAAAAGGGUGCAAAGAAGGAGACAAGGAUGAAACUUUAGAUACGAGGGGGUGUCGCAGAUAUGUUGUUGAUCAUAUACAAGAUUGUGAAAAGAUUUUAACUCGGCUUGGAGAAGUUCAUCUUACAUUAUCGGAUAUGAAGUCCGUAUUUGGAGUGCAAGAGGUUGUAAUUGUUGGACAUUUAUGCGGAUCUUACGGAAGAAAACCAGAUCCGACUAAAGUUGAUGCAAUUGGAAGGAUGAAAGAGGAUUUUGGUUCUUUAACAGAGGUUCGCAGGUUUUUGGGUGCAUGUGUAUUUUAUCGAAUCUGGAUCCCUCAUUUUGCUCACAUAGCGGAUCCAUUAUAUGAACUGUUACGCAAGGGUUACCGAUUUAAAUGGAAAGAAAGGCAUAUUCAGGCAAUGCAAAGAUUGAAGAAAUUAUUGAUGUCACCUCUAAUAUUGAGGAAGGUUGAUUAUAAGUGCAAUAGACCAGUGAUUCUUACUGUAGACGCUAGUCCAAUUGCCGUUGGAUGGGCGGUGGGUCAAGAUGAUUCGAAUGGGAGUAGAUUUGCAGUUCGAUUUGGGGCUAAAGUUUUAAGUAUUCGUCAGCGUGCAUAUUCGCAAGUCAAAAGAGAACUUUGGAGAGUCGUUUCGGCUAUGAAAGUUGAAAAGGACUUUUUGAUUGGGGCAGUAGUAGUAAUUGAAACAGAUUGCUUGCCAUUGCUUGGAAUGAUUAUUAACUGUUCAACGCCAGAUAUUGCAAUGUUGAGAUGGAUUGCUUAUAUUAAGUCACUAAAUCCAGAAUUUAAGCAUAUUACUAGGAAGGAUAAUUUAGUAGCAGACAUGCUAUCUCGAGCAAGAUACGAGAGGGAGGACGAAAUGGUUGAAGACAUUGAUGACGUCGGAUUGAAAUUCUAUUCAAUAUCAAAUCUCAACAGAGAAGACAAGCUAUUUCUUGAAGAAUCUUAUGAAGGAAAAUUAUUGGAUAUUGGUCAUUAUUUGAAUGCCUUGACUAAGCAGGGGAAUUGGUCUACAGAAAAAUUCAAACAAAUAAGAAAAAAAGCAUAUGGAUUUUUACUUCGAGAUGGAUUCUUAUGGAAGAGACCGAAGAAAGGAAUUGGGAUGCCACAACGAGUGAUAGGCAAAAGGGAAGAAAGACUAAAAUUAUUAAAGGAGUUUCAUGAUAGUUUAUGGGCAGGGCAUAGAGGAAUCUGGGCUACUUUUGCUAAACUCAAGGAACGAUAUUGGUGGAAAAAUAUGUAUCAAGAUGUGCUCUCAUUUGUAGAGUCAUGUGAAAUCUGUCAAUCGUAUUCUAAUAUCCGACAUCGAGAUGGUCUUCAUCCUACGUAUCCUCUGGCUAUUCGUUUUAAAUGGGUUGUUGAUUUGGUUAUUAUGUCGAUUGGGUUAUGGCAGAUGAGAUAUUUGGUUUUAGCUCGUGAAGAUUUAUCAAAUCUAGUAGAAGGAAGAGCAUUGAGGACAAAAUCUACAGAGGGGAUUUGUAGGUUUUUGCUUGAAGAUGUCAUUUGCCGUUACAGGUGCGUAGGAAAAAUCACUGCAGAUCGUGGAGAAUUAAAUGCACAAGAAGCUCGUAAGUUCUUUGAAAAAUGUGGAGUUAAACUAUCACUGACUACUGCUUAUAAUCCGGAAGGGAAUGCGAAAAGCGAACGCGGUCACCCGUCGAUUGUGAAAGCAUUGGUUAAAGCUUAUAAUGGGAAGGUUAAAGAGUGGCCACGGCUUUUGUCAUUUGCAUUAUGGGCUGAUCGAACAACACAUAGUUCGGUGACAGGAUAUAUGCCAGUAGAACUUAUGAUAAGUCAAAAACCAAUUAUGCCGAUUGAAGAAAAGGUACUUACUUGGAGUAUGCUACCAUGGGAAGAUGGAUUGACAAGAGAAGAACUUCUGGCUAUUAGGAUUCGACAAUUGGAGCAUAGAACGGAAGAUGUCUAGAUAGCAUUGAAAAGGUUAAAAAGAGCAAGGUUAUAAAACAAGGGGCGAUUCGAUAAGCAACAUCGAUUGAGACCAAAAGCAAUCGAGAAAGGUAACUGGGUACUUGUUUAUGACAAUAGUCUAGAUAAUCAACAUAGUACUUUGCGGAAAUUUUCAAAACGUUGGUUUGGACCAUAUGUGGUAACAACAGUUCAUGAUAAUGCGACUUACUCAUUACGGGAGUUAGAUGGUACAAAAUUGAAAAUACCAAUUGCAGGGAAGCAAGUAAAAAUAUUUAAACGAAGACACGCGGAGAUGAAUAUGGAAGACCUUAAUGAAGGUACAGAGAUUCCGCAGCAAGAAGAUGAAAGUGAUAUGGAUAAUGAAGGUGACGAAGACGAACUGGACAAAGACAUAGGGGAUAUAUUCUGAAUCAAACAGCAAUUGGGUAAAUUGGUGCAUAUCGGAGGAUGCACAGGUUCAGAGGGGGUGGAUGUCGUGUUGUAACACGAGUAUACAGUGAAAAUAAAAAGAAAGGGGAAUUUUAUUAAUAUUCAGUUACCUCGAAUAUUGGGAGCAUCAACCAACUCCAGUACAAAUACUGAGUGGUCAGGUUCAGUCACCCCGUUACAGUCUGCCGGGGCAUACUGAAAUGCUCCAUUCGAUUCGAAUAACGAGAGUCAGCAGGAAGAGAAGGACCAAUUCACACGACGGGUUUGAGGAGCCAAUUGGAUCCAAUUUCGAUAAUCCAAUCCGAGUCCUCUUAUCCAAUAUGAGACCUGAAUUGGCCGGUCAAUCCAAUGCAGUCUAAUUACGGGAAAUCCAGGUCUUACUACGGGUCUUAGCCAAUCUGAUGCGAGGACCAAUUUGACCCAAUUACGGGAACAUCCAGGUUACUACGGGCAUCUUUCCCAAUAUAGGACCUGAAUUGGUCGGGCGACUCAAUGUGGUCCCGAUUACGGGGUUCGAUUUUGUUUCAGGCUGUCCUGUUCUCUGUGCCGUUUCCGGGAACGUUGUUUUUGGUAAAUGGAUUUCUUAAAGGUAAAAACAGAGGAGAAAGCUUGACGGCGAGAGCCAAUUUCGGAUCCAAGCUUGAGGUGGGAGCCAAUUCCGGAUCUAAGACGGAAGAUUGAAGAAAUUGAGAGGAUAAGGUUAGGGGGGAUAUAGUUUUGAGGGGGGAGGUUUUUUUUUCGGGGGGAAUCGGGAGGAGCGAAUUUUCAAGCUUUUACAAGGAUACUAGUUCGGUUUUUCAUUGGAGGUUUUUGGAAGAUCAGGGGAAUUAGAGAGAGGAGCUUCAUGCUUUGGGUCGGGGAAGGAAAGACAUAGAAUUUGGAUUUUUCUUCUUCGUAGAGUUUUGGGAUGACUGAGGCAAUUGCUGCUGAAGUCAGUGUUGUAAUGGUGAAUCGGAAUUUUUAAAUGAAGUGGGUUUGAAUACUCUUGACUGUUUUAUAAAAUCGAGUUACGUCUGUGAUUGAAGGAUUAAAGGGGUGUCUAUAGGAUUGAGUAUGCGGAGUGAAUGAAAUUUAUUGGGUUAAUCUAACAGGACAAUCAGUGGAUACAAGAUCGUAAGUACAAAGGGGUAUUGAAGAUUAACAGUUUGGGUUGUUCGGGGUUCUCUGUAACGUCUAGAGACCUACCGGCUGGGACAAGAAAAGGACUUCGAGAAGUAGUCGAAGGGCAUCAGUAAAGAUUUACGGUGUAUUCUUGCAGUCGUUUAUAUUCCAAUAGUAAAAACUGAUAGACUGCUUGACUAUCGACGGAUCUCCAUACUACCUUCUACAGCCUGACGCCCGGCGCAUUCUCAAGCAAAAAAGCACGUAAUACGAGAGCGGAAGAUGACUUUUCCCAUAAAACCACCCAAGAAAUAACCUAGUAAAAAACCUCGAAAGAAGAAAUCCUUAUUCAUUGGAGCAAGAGCGUUUAUAAGAUCAUCUAAGGAAGGCACUCCAUUUGUCAUUUAUGCGGCUCCAACUACCAAGGAGAAGAUCUCAACAGCAAGUAUACCAGAGCAAAAUAAAGAUUUUGAAGACGUGUUUCAAAAGAAGAACGCCGACAUACUACCGUAACACCGACCAUAUGAUUGUGCCAUAGACUUGUAAGAAGGAGCACAACCACCUUUUGGCCCAAUCUACAAUCUAUCGCAAACGGAGUUGGCAGAGUUACGAAAGUACAUUGACGAGAAUCUAGCCAAGAACUUCAUUCGUCAUUCAAAAUCAUCAGCUGGAGCAUCCAUCUUAUUUGUGAAGAAGAAAGAUGGAUCAUUAUGGAUGUGUGUGGACUAUCGAGGCCUCAACAAGGUAACAAAGAAAAAUCGUUAUCCAUUACCCUUGAUUUCUAGUCUCUUAGAACAACUUGGACGUGUGAAGAUCUUUUCAAAAAUUGAUCUAAGGGGAGCUUAUAAUCUCGUACGAAUCAAGGAAGGAGAUGAGUGGAAGACAGCAUUCCAUAUAAGGUAUGGUCAUUUCGAAUAUAAUGUCAUGCCUUUUGGUCUUACCAAUGCUCCAGCGGUUUUCCAACAUAUGAUGAAUGACAUCUUUCGAGAACACCUCGACGAUUUUGUUGUCAUCUACUUGAACGAUAUUCUAAUAUUCUCUAAAAACGAGGAAGAGCAUGAGGAGCAUGUUCGUUUGGUCUUAGAGAAACUACGCAAGCGAGGACUAUAUGCCAAAUUAGAAAAGUGUUUAUUUCACCAGACGGAGAUGGAAUUUUUGGGGUUCAUUGCGACUACAAAAGGUUUGAAGAUGGACCCCAAGAAAGUAGAAGCAAUCAUGUCUUGGGAGGUUUUGAAGACGGUUAGAGACAUACAAUGCUUUCUUGGUUUUGCUAACUUCUAUCGGAUCUUCAUCAAGAAUUAUUCUCAAGUUGCUGCUCCUCUCAUUCGAUUAACAUGCAAGGAUAAGUUGGAAUGGGGACCUUUGGCGGAGAAGGCGUUUCAAGAUUUGAAGACAGCAUUUACUACAGCUCCAAUUUUGGUACAUUCAGACUUUACAAAGGCCUUCUAUUUAGAAACUGAUGCUUCAAAUUUUGCUUUGGGAGCUGUGCUUUCACAAAUGAGUGAAGAUAAGAAGCUCCAUCCAGUUGCAUUCUAUUCUCGAAAGAUCUCUGCUGCUGAAAUUAAUAAUGAGAUCCACGAUAAGGAACUUCUUGCUAUAGUGGAUUCUUUCGAAGAAUGGCGUCACUUUCUUGAAGGAGCUGCACAUCCAGUAACCAUAUAUACGGAUCACAAGAAUUUGGAGUAUUUCAUGAUGGCUCGAGUUUUAAAUCGGCGUGAAGCUCGGUGGAAUAUGUCGCUAUCUAGAUUCGAUUUUGUUAUCACUUAUCGACCUGGAAGGCAGCAAAGACUAUCCGAUGCUUUAUCAAGGAGAUCGUAUCUUGCACCAAAGGCUGGAGAAGCAGCGUUUGAUCAACAAUGUACAACAUUAUUGAAGCUAGAGAGAUUUCAACUUUGUGCUACUAUUGUAUCAUUUGAUGCUGACUUCCUAAACCAGGUACGUGCUAUAACCAUUAAAGAUUCAGUAGCCAUUGAUAUCAAGCAACGUACCAAUGACGACAAGUUCAAGGUGGAGGGAGAUCUUUUAUACUUUGAAGAGCGAUUGUACAUUCCAAAAGGACUAGCACGAUUCCGAGUUCUUAAAUCUCGCCAUGAUUUUCCAGCUACGGGAUAUUUUGGAUUCAACAAGACCUUGGAGCUUAUUUCUCGAGAUUUUUGGUGGCCCCAAAUGUGGAAGGAUGUGAAAGAUUUUGUCCUCUCUUGUGACAUCUGUUCAAGAUCUAAGAAUCCUCAGCAUCGCCCUUAUCGACUUCUACAGCCAUUGCCAAUUCCACGUCGACCAUGGUCUUCAAUUUCUAUGGACUUCAUCAUGGACUUGCCAUCAUCAAACUCAUUUGACAGCAUCUUUGUCAUGGUAGAUCGACUUACAAAGAUGGCACACUUUGUUCCUUGUAAGAAGACAUCGUCUAGUGAAGUCACAGCAAGACUCUUUCUCGAUAAUGUGUAUCGAUAUCAUGGACUACCAGAUGAUAUCAUAUCAGAUCGAGGUACCCAGUUCGUGUCAAAGUUUUGGAGAUCUCUCUUUGGGAUAUUGAAGGUGGAUAUCAAGCUUUCUUCAGCUUUUCAUCCUCAAACCGAUGGCCAAACGGAACGGGUGAACCAAGUCUUGGAGCAGUACUUACGAUGCAGCAUCAACUAUCAGCAUGACGAUUGGACUGCAUAUCUACCGCUAGCCGAGUUUACAUAUAACAACACCCUCUAUGCAUCGACUCAACAAACACCAUUCUUUUUCAACUAUGGGUAUCAUCCGAAGCUUGAUUUAUUGAGUCCGUCAACAAAUAACAAUCCAGCAGCUGAAGGAUUUGCGAAGCAACUAUCAGAGCUUCAAACUAUGUUGAAGCUUCAAUUACAAUCCGCUCAAGAAUCCUAUAAGAUGUCUGCAGAUAGAUUUCGGAAUCCAGCACCUACUUUCAAAGUUGGAGACAAAGCUUGGCUUCUUCGACGAAAUAUCAAGACCAAGCGACCAUGUGAUAAGUUGGACUAUCGAAGAUUGGGACCAUUUAUCAUCCAGAAGCAAAUUAAUCGAGUGGCAUACCGACUGGAGUUACCGGCUUCUAUGAAAGUAGAUCCAGUCUUUCAUGUUUCUCUGUUGGAACCUUAUCGAGAGUCAUCUUUUCCUGGAAGAGUGGAAUGUCCGCCACCUAGUAUUGAAAUCGAGAACCACGAAGAAUACGAGGUUGAAAAGGUAUUGGAUUCACGACGAAGGUGGAGAAAGUUAGAAUAUCUUGUUCAUUGGUGUAGCUAUGACAUUAAUGAGCGAACGUGGGAGCCAGCUGAAAAUCUUGCGAAUGCGCCACAAAAGGUAUAGGAGUUUCAUCAACGACAUCCCGAUAAACCUAAAUCAAUUCGAUGAUAGCUUCUUUCUGAAGCUUGUUCUCCCAACAAUAUAAGAAAAGGGGAUAGCACCAGCAAAAUUCAUAAUUGAUGUAGUUAUUUUCUCCAAGAUAGAUCGUAGUUUGGUCUUUUGAUAUGGAUAGCCAAGAGAUAGAUACUAUGCCAGUCAGAGUAUCGCAACCGAGUAGCUCACGAAGGCGAUCCCGAGAUGAAAAACUACAUGUAUCACGACGACGACGGAGGAUACCGAGUGACCGAUCACUGGUGAUCGUAUUUGAGAUCGAGCCUGCUUACGAUGGUCAACCAGAAGGCGUGUUUGCAGGAUAAUUUCACAAUAAGGACACGGAAGUUCAUGCUUGGUCAGAAGUCAAAGGCGUGGGCCACUACCGUUGGCUUCAAGGGUCGAUGAACCACUUGCCUCGUAAACAACAGUUGGAGUUCAUAGCAGAAGUUAUGCGACAGAUCUUCAUUUUUUUGCGUUGGUACUGAUCAACAACAUUGCUUCUCAGAGACCUCGAAGCUAAACGAGGGGGUGAUGUUAAGGACAUAUUCCUUAGAACUUUCUAGAGAGAAGUUUCUAGAACCUUCUAGAAAACAAGCCUCUAGAACCUUCUAGAAGAGAAGCCUCUGGAACCUUUUAGAGAGAAGUUUCUAGAAGCUUCUAGGAAGGAAGUCUCUGGAACCUUCUAGAAGAGAAGUUUCUAGAAGCUUCUAGAAAGGAAUUCCCUGGAACUUUCUAGAAGCUUCCUAGUUAAUAGAAGUAGCUCGAGAAGUUUUUAGAACCUUCUAGAAAGGAAGCCUCUGGAACCUUCUAGAAGCUUUCUAGUUAAUAGAAGUAGCUCGAGAAGCUUCCUAAGUAGGAAUAUAUAUAGGGAUCGAGGCUGAAGAGUUCUUCAGUCUCGACAACACAUCUCUUGGAGUUCUAGCUCACCUUUUUGGUGUUGUUCUUGUACUCAUCUAUUUAAUCUAAUUCUGCCACUUCUUCUUGAACUUCUUGUUAGAUUUCAAGUCUGUAUUUUGUGUCCGUGAUAUAAGGUUGGAUUAGGAUUAGGAGUUGGUUAGAAUUUAAGGUUUUAUUAGAUUUUUGUUAGGAUUUGACUAAGUUUUCUUUAAUAUUCUUUUAUAUUUCUUUAGGAUUUC